GUCAGGCUGGAGGCUGAAGAAUUUGUAGCCAGUGGAACAUAAAUGUGGGCUUCCUGAGCUUCCCAUUAGCAGCUGGUGUCAUACCAGAAAGUGUUCAUGUAAGUCUAGAUGAUAGACCCCAGUAAUGGUCUUUAUGAGUUCCUGCUUGCUGCUUUGCCAGUGUUGGGAUGUCUCAUUUCAGCAUUGUCUGCCUAGUGGGCAUAUCAGGCUUUUCAUCUUUACUUUAUUUUUGAGAUUAUAAUAUAAUUACACAAUUUUCUUCUUUCCUUCCCCAAACCCUCCCAAAUAUUCCUCCUUAUUCUUUUUCAAAUUUAUGCCCUCUUUUCUCAGGAUUUAUUAUUAAACUCACACAUAUGCAAUGUAUAUUAUAUAGUUAUAAUAUAUAUAUAAUAAUUAUAUUACUGUAAUAUCUAAUUGUAUUAUGUAAUUAUAUAUGUGUGUGUGUGUGUGUGUGUGUGUGUGUGUGUGUGUGUGUAAUAUAACUUAUAUGUAUGUAUUCAGGGCUGAGCACAUAAGUUUUGAGGUAGCCUAAGAUAACUUCUCAGAAAUCUCAUUUUCACUUCCUAUAGCAAUGACAGUCUCCACUUUCCUUUUUGUUUAGAGUUUCUAUUAUUGUGCUAAAAUCAUGACAAAAAGCAACAUGGGAGAGGAAGGAUUUAUUUCAGCUUACAGUUUCAUGUCAGGGUUCUAUUGUCAAAGGAACUCAAGGCAGAAACCUGGAGGCAGGAAGUGAAGCAGGGAGCAUGGAGGCAUGCUGCUCACUGGCUUGCUCCUCCUGGCUUGCUCAGCCUGUUUCUUUAUACACUCCAGGAACACCUGCCCAAGGGUGGCACCACCCAUGAUGGGGUGAGCUCUCCCACAGCCACUAACUAAGGAAAUGCUCAUGAGCUUGCUUAGAGCCUAAUCCUAUUGAUACAUUUUCUCCAUGUGGUUCCCUCUUCUUAGAUAACUCUAGCUUGUAUCAAGUAGACAUUAAACUAGCCAGCAUACUGGUUUUUUGCUCUUUAGGGAAAACCUUAGGUUCUGAGAGUUGAAUCUUCUGCCCCUUUGGGGGGCAUGCCUCUUGUAGAACUGAUAUCCCUUUAGAGACUUUAAAUUGCCCAUUUCCGAGCAGUAGAUCCCUUAAAAGGAAAACACAUCCAAACAGGUGAUGGAAAAGAACAAAACCAUACUAUACCUAAAAAGGGAAGUAGAC
rnacentral:lncRNA from 1 species